rnacentral:rRNA from 1 species
UACGAGGGGGGCAAGCGUUGUUCGGAUUUCUUGGGCGUAAAGGGUGCGUAGGCGGUUUGAUAAGUCUGGUGUGAAAUCUAUGGGCUCAACCCAUAGUCUGCACUAGAAACUGUCGGGCUUGAGUAUGGGAGAGGUGAGUGGAAUUUCCGGUGUAGCGGUGAAAUGCGUAGAUAUCGGGAGGAACACCAGUGGCGAAGGCGACUUCCUGGCCUGUUCUUGACGCUGAGGCGCGAAAGCUAGGGGAGCAAACGGG